UAGGGAAUCUUCGGCAAUGGACGAAAGUCUGACCGAGCAACGCCGCGUGAGUGAAGAAGGUUUUCGGAUCGUAAAACUCUGUUGUUAGAGAAGAACAAGGACGUUAGUAACUGAACGUCCCCUGACGGUAUCUAACCAGAAAGCCACGGCUAACUACGUACCAGCAACCGCGGUAAUACGUAGGUGGCAAGCGUUGUCCGGAUUUAUUGGGCGUAAAGCGAGCGCAGGCGGUUUCUUAAGUCUGAUGUGAAAGCCCCCGGCUCAACCGGGGAGGGUCAUUGGAAACUGGGAGACUUGAGUGCAGAAGAGGAGAGUGGAAUUCCAUGUGUAGCGGUGAAAUGCGUAGAUAUAUGGAGGAACACCAGUGGCGAAGGCGGCUCUCUGGUCUGUAACUGACGCUGAGGCUCGAAAGCGUGGGGAGCAAACAGG
rnacentral:rRNA from 1 species